rnacentral:rRNA from 1 species
CAAUAGCGUAUAUUAAAGUUGUUGCGGUUAAAAAGCUCGUAGUUGGAUUUCUGUUGAGGACGGCCGGUCCGCAUUAUGUGCGUGUAUCUGGUUCGGCCUUGGCAUCCUCCAGGGGAACGUUCCUGCGCUUCACUGCGUGGGACGGUAUUCUGGACUUUUACUUUGAGGAAAUUAGAGUGUUCACGGCAGGCAGUCGCCUUGAAUAUAUUAGCAUGGAAUAAUAAUAUAGGACCUUGAUUCUAUUUUGUUUGGUUUCUUAGAAUUUAGGUUAAUUAGAUUAAUUAAGGGACGAAUUAGGGGGUCGGAUUUGUUAUUUAACUAACGUACCA